rnacentral:lncRNA from 1 species
GGGAAUGUGAGGCAGGGUGGUAGCAGCUUCUGAUCUCUAUGAACAGCCUUCUGACUACUGAUGCCCAGCUCUCUCAGAUUUCAGUUUGGGUAUCAUUUUUGGCUGGUGAAUUUUCUUGUGUUUAAUCCUGAAUCGGCCGAAAUGGGCAUCGUUAGCCCUGAUGCAGGAGCAGACAGUUGUGAUAUUAGACUCCAGACUGCAGGCAAACUCACUCCCACACCAGAGCCAAAAGAAUAAGCAUCACAUCUCAAAAGGUGUCUUAGACCAGAGCCUGCUAACCCAGAUGUGACAAGACCCUUAAGUAUUUCCGGGCUGAAGAAAACUUCCACUUUUUGGAGCCAGCCCCCUGCAACUACC